CGAGCAUAGAGACUUCGGUCAAUUUGACUUAGUGGCGGACGGGUGAGUAACGCGUGAGGACCUGCCUUUCAGUGGGGGACAACAGUUGGAAACGACUGCUAAUACCGCAUAAUGGGGCAUCCCCAAAGAUUUAUUGCUGAAAGAUGGCCUCGCGUCUGAUUAGAUAGUUGGUGGGGUAACGGCCUACCAAGUCGACGAUCAGUAGCCGGACUGAGAGGUUGAACGGCCACAUUGGGACUGAGAUACGGCCCAGACUCCUACGGGAGGCAGCAGUGGGGAAUAUUGGGCAAUGGGGGAAACCCUGACCCAGCAACGCCGCGUGAAGGAAGAAGGCUUUCGGGUUGUAAACUUCUUUUACCAGGGACGAAGACGUGACGGUACCUGGAGAAAAAGCCACGGCUAACUACGUGCCAGCAGCCGCGGUAAUACGUAGGUGGCAAGCGUUGUCCGGAUUUACUGGGUGUAAAGGGCGUGUAGGCGGGAGAGCAAGUCAGAAGUGAAAUCUAUGGGCUUAACCCAUAAACUGCUUUUGAAACUGUUCUUCUUGAGUAUCGGAGAGGCAGGCGGAAUUCCUAGUGUAGCGGUGAAAUGCGUAGAUAUUAGGAGGAACACCAGUGGCGAAGGCG
rnacentral:rRNA from 1 species